AAAUUUAUAUAUGGAUAUUAGACCCAGGGAAUGGGUGUCUGCUACAGGGAAAUGUAUAUAUGGAUAUAAGACCCAGGGAAUGGGUGUCUGCUACAGGGAAAUGUAUAUAUGGAUAUAAGACCCAGGGAAUGGGUGUCUGCUACAGGGAAAUGUAUAUAUGGAUAUAAGACCCAG